rfam:Ciona savignyi cont_51575, whole genome shotgun sequence.
GUACCUGCUUCGGCAGUACAUAUACUAAAAUUGGAACGAUACAGAGAAGAUUAGCAUGGCCCCCUGCGCAGGAUGACACGCAAAAUCGUGAAGCGUUCCUUAUUUUU